GAGGGGCAUGCCACUCCCUGCUUGCUUUAUUUACUACUCCAGUCCACUAUUCUCUUAGUUUGUGGAAGCCAAACUCCUUGGUUUGGAAUCAACCUUCCGCGAUCAAUCCACUUCAAUUUCCUCUCAUGUUGCCAAGGCAAGAAUUAAUGGCCUAGCAAUAGCAGUAGCACAAGGUUCAGGCCAGAGUACUGAUGCAUAUACCAGAGAAUGGAAAGUAGUAGCAGGAACACAUGUAGUUCCAUGGAACUAACUUAACUUUAUUUUUUGCAAUCCUUUCCACAUUAAUUUGCCAUUCAUUAAGAUGCCAAAAUAACAAAGACAUAUAUCAGAGAAACUUGGUAUUCCUCCAGCUAGAAUUAACAAAAAAAAAAAAAAGAAAAAGAUAAAAAGAGACAAAAAAGAAGAGAAAGGAAAGAAACUCCCUACAUUUUUCCACGUUUCUUCUAAGCAAACCUUUGGGAUAUAUGAAGCAUGAAUAGAACUAGGGUUCAAAAAGGUAAAUAUAUACUAGCAGGAAAAAAAGUACAAUAAUAGCUAGGAUUUUGAGGUUCAUUGAACCAGGACAAUUUCGUACGGAGACGAGUUAUACAACAGGGAAUGUUGGAUGCCUUUUUAAGAUUUUUUUUUUUUUAAAGUUAAAAGCUUAAAAUAAUAUUACGUAUAAGGACUGACCUGGAAAGGAGUUUUUAUAAGAAAUUGUAGAGAUUGGAAAUCCCUAACAAAAUUAAGAUGUUUGCUUGGAAAUUAAAUAACGGUUUCCUACAUGUUUAGAACAGAUUAUGGCAGAGGGGAAUUGAUGUUGAUACAUGUCCAAGAUGUGGUCUACUUGAGGAGACAAUAACAAAUGCUCUGUGACAUUGUGAAAGUAUCAGCACAGUUUGGAACCUGGCUGAUUUGCCACCCAGAUGGAGGAAUAUAAACCUGGCAGCAGAUGGAGGCUGGAUUGAAGAAAUAGCAGAUGCGGUGGACACAGCGAGUUUGGUUAGCGGGCCUGGUUCUCUGUUGGGCAGCAUGGAAAACCAGGAACCAAGCUGGAAGGAGGGGACUCACCGAACAGCAGAAAUGGUGGUCCAUUUUGCCCGAAGCUAACUGUGCGAAUGUAGACAGGCAAAUGAGACCCAAUCAACACGAACACCUGAACCUGUUACUAUGUGGGAGCCACCACCUUGAGGACUCGCAAAGUUAAAUUUUGAUGGAGCUCUCAACCUAGAUGCCAGCAUGGGGGGAAUUGGGGUGAUUAUGUGGAAUGAUAGAGGACAGUUCCUAGGAGCCGUUUGUGCGAAGGUGGACCAUGUGAGAGACCCGACCAUCGUUGAGGCUUUAGCCGCUGCAAAAAUAUUGAGACUGGAUUGUGUCUUCCUUGAAGGUGAUGCCAUGCAAGUGGUAGAGUGAUGCAAGCAAGGACACGAAGACUUAUCAAAUGUGGGAAACAUCCUCGCAGAUGUAAGGGCUAUAGGAAGCACCUUAAGAUCCUUCCAGGUGGGUUAUAUCAAUCCAAAUGCAAAUGGCGUUGCUCAUUGCUUAGCUAGACAUGCUUUGAAUAAUGCCUCUGAUGAGAUAUGAUUGUGGACUAUCCAUCCAUUAUCCAAGACAUGAUCAACACUGAAUGUAAUGAUCUUCAGUAAUACAAUUAGCUUGAUUCAAAACAAAAUUAUUAUGUAAAAGUUAAGAGCUUUUUUAUAUGAAUAUAAUAUUAGGUAUGUUUUAUAUAUCUUCAUAUUAAUUACAAGAAAUGAUCAACUUACAUAGUCUAUGGGAUUGGAAAUUGAUGAGGUGGAAUGUGUAUUGGGUUGUGUGGGAUCCGGGGCGUUGUGUGCGAAGUGGCCUGAAGAGUUAAGAUGAGUUGAAAGAUUGGGAGAAAAUGGCCCAAGCUCUAAUGAUGAGACCAUGACAAGGUUUAUUGGUGCACAGCUUAUUUGUCAUGAUCAGGCCUUGGUGUGCCUCGAUCUUGCCAUGAUUGAUCCUGUGCUAAGCAGUUGUCGAGGCCCAGUUUGUGGGAUCGUGGUCUUGGAGCAUGUGUGUAGGCAUUUUAAGCACAGAAAUAUAUCGCUGAUAUAAUAUGCGGGUAGUGUGAGCCUUGGGCUGCAAGAUGCGCAAACAAGUUUGAGCUAGUGGGAGGGCCAUCAGUUGAAGCUGUGUGUAGGCAUUUUGAGCAUGGGAACAUGUUGUUGAUAUUGUGUGUGGGCAGUGUGAGUCCUAGGCCCCAAGAUACGAAAGCAAGUACGAGACAGUGGGCUGGCACCCUGGAGCUGGUUAGUCAAUCAAGUGCUGUCGGUUAAUGCCAUGUGUAGGCAUCAUCGAGAAGGUUGGUAGAGCAACAAACAAAAUCAGAGAAUUAUGGUGACUAAAAAGAAUGUCAUGGGACCCUGAGUUAGCUGGAGAAAGGCUUUAAGAUGGCUAGAGAGAAAAUUAUCCUCAUUUCAUAUAGUUUUACAGCUCUUAGUAGGAGAUUCAAAAAAUCUCUUACGCUUUUUAUAAGGGGAUGAUUGGUGUCAACUCUCCACCACUCUUUUGGCUAGCAAGCAGGUAAGGGCCUAGCUAGUUUGAAAUGAGCUACUCCUAGGCACAUAUGGUAUCUAGGUGGGCGGGCAUUGUAGGGUCACGAGUGUGGCACAAUGUCUCAUCGGGUCAUGUAAACCCGAGGAUGAUUGGAGCCGAUAGACUCGUAUCGUGCCUUUGCGUUAAGCCAUAGGGUUAGGCGAAAACAUUUGCUAUGCCCCUCAGUUUCCCUUCCUUGAGCUGGAAGGAUCAUAAAAUGGUGCUUGCAUAGGAGGGGCACCAUCGAGCCUGAGGGAUGAGCAGGCUAGUAGGCAAGCAUGCUGCUAGACCCUUGUGACUAAUUGUUAGAAGGGUACUACAGCUGGGGCAGUACACCCAAGUCUCCCAUGUGGGAUUAGCAUGAUUUUGGGUGUUAAUCAUGAGUAUGGAUAGCCUAAAUUGAGGCUAAAGGCUUGGGCUCUAAGAAUUGAAUUUCGUGGGAUGAGAUGAGCCUAGAGGCUUUGAGUUGGUUGCUAACCAGCAUAUGUGUUGUGCUUGCGAGGUUUUGGCAUGAGAGUUUGUUUAUGAUGCAAUCAGGCAUGGUAUUGGGUUUUCCCUAUGCCAAAAAGCAAUAAUAUCAUGAAAAUCGAGGCUAUGCGCUCUUAUGACAAUUCGAGGGUCAGUACUCGAGACUUUAAGCCUUACAAGUUGAGAUGGGUGUUCGAGGCCACCGUGAAAAUCAUGGGCUAAUGUGUUAAUGGGAGUUGGGUUCCUCUCUAUCGAGUUUAGGAAUGUUCGACCUUACGGGGUUUGAGCCAAGAAAGGCUUACUAAUGAGCGGCUUGAAGGAUCUAUAUCAAGCUGUUCAUGAGAAAAUGGACUCAAGAAAGGGUGACCUUGACUAUGAGUAGUCUUAGUGCCACACGGAUGUGUGAUUUCAGAAUAAAAAAUGCAUGGCCCAUGACAUUGUGGUAUCAGAGCCUAGUUCGGUUCAGCGAUGGGAUUAAUGCAACCAUGGUUGUGGGCAUGAUAAUGUGAAAUUGAGGCGGUGUUAAGCUGAAAAAGAGUUAUCGAGAUGCGAAUGCAGUUCUGUGGCUAUAACGACUCAAGAAUGAGCCAACGAUGUGUGCUGUGGGAAAAUUUGGCCUAGUUGAGAGACCUUCGAGUAGGCUCUUGGAUGUUAGGUAAAAGGGCAUAAGAGUCUAACCUUACCUAAAAAAAGGUGAUGACGCAUGUGGGCAUGUAAUGCCUUUACAGUGGAAAGAACUGUGGUAAGACCAAAAUGCGAAAAGGGCAUACAUUAUGAAAUAGUGUUGAGUAAGGCCAUAUAGGCCAAAGCAAGUUUUAUCCUAAGGGACAUGAGCCAUGUAUACGUAUUGAGAUUAGUUACUAAUGUAUGCACUUAUUGUAUGGUAUAGGUGCCCUAAUAGGGAUACGAGCUGAGUAUUCGGUCCAAGUGUGGAGCCAUUCUAUAGAGGUAGAUGAGCUUGAGCUGGCUAAAGAUUGAAGCUAUGAGUUGUGAUGGUCGGUGGAACAUGAAUCCUUGUGGUCAGAAGAUCACGAGAGUGUGCGAGUUAGUGGACUAUUUUUUAUGUUGGUCGAGAGAGAAGUGAGUGGUGAUGGUUAGUGGGCCAGAAUAGUGUUCAGUUCAAUGGAACAAACAAUAAAAAUUGGCCAGUUGAUAAGGCCUUGAGAUGUGUAGGUCAGAGGACUGAUCGAGUUGAGUAUGCUAAGGGUAUAGGCAUUUGAGCUGUGCAUCCGAUCAAUGGAUUGGACAAGUUUGAGUAAGGCAAAGGAUAAGCCAAUUGAGAUUGAGCUAAAUACCGACCUAAGGGAUAGCCUUGAGUUCGAGUAGUUAGCAGACCUUGAGUAUCAAGUGGGUUGGUAAACCUUUGAGUCGAGUAAGUUAGUGGAUAAUGUGUUUAGUUGGAUUAGUGGAUCCUUGAGUAUUGAAUGGGCUUUGAGAUGCCCUAUAAGCCAUGCUAGAAUCACGAAAAUAAGUUGUGAACCAUAAGGAGACAUGGUUGCAUAUAAAGCCGAGCCGAGUUCGAAUAAAAAUGGGGGAAAAAGGUGUUUUCCCAUGAAAUUGAGCCAAAAUAGUGAAGCCUAUAAGUUAGUUGAGAACCAUGGUUAAAUCUAAGAUAGAGAAAAAGAUAGCGUGUAUUAAAGUGCCAUCAUAAGGACGGUUGACUGAGGGCUACACCUAGAAAGGUGACCUUGGAGGGGUCGAAAUGACCCAAGUUGUGAGAUGAUCGAAGUGUUUGAAUGCCAUUAUGCUAGGGUCUAUCCUGUGUGGUGCCGUAUGAGUACAGUUGACCAAAACACCACGUCUAGAGGGGCGCAUUAAAGAGUUAAUGCCACAAGUAUGCAGUUGGUGUGGGUGAUCACAUCCAAUGGGGUGUACCAAUGAGUGGCAAAGCAGAUGGUCAUUCAUUCUACUGAGAGUCAUGAUCAACAAGGGUGCCUCGAGGUCAUAACAUGAUAUAAUCAUGGGUAAAGUAGUGUUGUGGCACAUAUUGAGUAAUCGAGAUGGAAAUAGAGUAGAGGUACAUUGAAGCUAAAAGGAGACCUAUCUACAUCGAUAAUGGAUGAGUAUUAUGGGGGGUGCCCUAUAUAAUGGGAUCUUGACCCAAUCUUUGAGGGUACAAGUGAGAGACAUAUGAGUAAAUGUCAAUUGUGUGUAAUAAAAGAGUUGGGCGUGGUCUUGGCAUUGAUGAAGGCAUCAACAUAGUAAGUAAGGAAAAGUGUCAUGGUUAAGCCUUGGUGUGCCUCGGUCUUGCCAUGACUGACCUUAUGCUGAGUAGCUGUUGAGAUCGAGUUUACGAUACCAUGGUCUUAGAGCAUGUGUGCGGGCAUUUUAAGCACGAGAAUAUAUUACUGAUAUAAUGUGCAGGCAGUGUGAGCCUUAGGUCAUAAGAUGUGCAAGCAAGUUCGAGCAAGUAGACAGGUACCCUCGAGUCGGGUAACCAGUCAAGUGCCAUUGAUCGAAGCUAUGUGCAAGCAUUUUGAGCAUGGAAACAUGUUGCUGAUAUUGUGUGUGGGCAGUGUGAGUCCUAGGUCUCAAGAUACAUAGACAAGUGUAAGGCAGUGGACAGGCAUCUUGAAGUCGGUUAGCCAGUCAUGAACUAUCAGUCAAAGUCAUGUGUAGGCAUCAUCGAGUGGGUUAAUGGAGCAACAAGUAGAAUUAGAGAAUUAUGGUGACCAAAAAGUAGGUCACAAGGCCCUAAGUUAGUUGGAGAAAGGCCUUGGGAUGGUUGGAGAGAAAAAUGUCCUUAUUUCAAAUAGUUUUACGAUUCUUAGUAAGAGACUCAAAAAAUCUCUUAUGCUCUUUAUAAGGAGAUGACUGGUGUUAGCUCUCCACCACCCAUUAGCUAACGGACAGGCAGAUGCUUGGCUAGUUUGAAGUAAAUUACUCCUAAGCAUAUGUGGUUUGUAGGUGGGCAAGCAUUAUAGGGUCACGAGUAUGGCACGGUGUCUCUUCGGGUCAUGGUAAACCUAGGGAAGGUUGGGGCUGACGGGCCUUUUAUUGCACCUUUGUGUUGAGCCAUAGGGUUAGGCGGUAGCGUUUGUUAUGCCCUUUGGUUUCCCUUCACUAAGCCAGAAGGAUCAUAAGAUGGUGUUUGUAUAGGAAGGGCACCAUUGAGCUUAAGGGAUGAGUGGGCUAACAAGCAAGCAUGGUGCUAGACUUUUGUGGCCAAUUGGUAGAAGGGUGCUGCAAUUGGGGUAACACACCCAAGUCCCCUAUACGAGACUAGCAUGAUGUUGGGUGUUAAUCAUGUAUACAGGCAGCCUAAAUUGAGGCUAAGGGCUUAGGCCUUAAGAGCUGAAUUUCAUGGGAUGAGAUAAGCCUAGAGGCUUUGAGCUAAUUGCUGACUAGCAUAUGUGUUGUGCUUGCGGGAUCUUGGCACGAGAGCUUACGUAUGAUGUGAACGGGCAUGGUGUUGGGUUCUUCCCAUGCUAAAAAGCAAUAAUAUCAUAAGAACCAAGGCUGUGCACUCCUAUGAGAAUUUGAGGGUCGAUGCUUGAGACCUUAAGCCCUGUGGACUGAUACAGAUGCUCGAGGCCACCAUGAAAAUCGUGGGUUGAUGCGUUGAUGGGAGUUGAGUUCCUCCUUAUUGAGUUUGGGAAUGUGCGACCUUAUAGGUCAAAGCUAAGAAAGGCUCACUAACGUGUGGCUUGAAGGAUCUAUAUCAAGCUGUUCAUGAGAAAAUGAUCUUAAGAAAGGUUAACGUCAAUUAUGAGUAAUUUUGGUGCGGCACGGACAUGUGAUUUCAGAAUAAGAAAUGCGUGGCCCAUGGCAUUACUCUUGUAGGUGGUGACAUUACUUCUAUAGGUGGUUAUAGGUUGGAGAUUAUGGGAAUUUUAACAUUGUCUAAGCAUAUCAAAGUUGAAAUGGGUUGUGUGAGGGUUUAAGGAGGAUGAUUUGGUUCAGGUUUAGGAGUUAAGUAAUGGCAUGGGGUCUAGGGAAAUUAAUUCUAAGACCUUACACAAUUCUGGUUAUUAUGGUACUGGGCUUACUUCAUGUGGGCUUGAGAAAGGAAGGGAUUAUCAGGCGUGUUUUGAUGGAUUGGGGGUUAAUAGAACAAAUAAGUUACGGAUUAGUCUUGUUUCUUAAUGAAGAGAUAGUAGAGUUAGAAGUUUGAAGGAGAUUGAGGAAUUUUUAGAAAAAUUACCUACCAGGAAAAAUAAAAAAAAGGAGGAAACAUAGUUGUUAGUAUUGGUUGUAUCAAUUGCUAUGUUUCAAUUAUACUAAAAUAUGAUACAACUAAAAAUAUUUUUUUAUCAUAUAUGGAAUCAAAUAAUACAAUUCUUUUCAUUAGUUGUGGUCUAUUUUGGUGAAUUUUAAUGAAAUAGCAUAUAUUUUUAAAAAAUUUAAUCAUUAUCCGGUACGAUAUUAAUAACUGAAAUAAUAUCCGAUACGAUGUUAACUGAAAAGCUAAGAUAAAGUUAAAAUUGACAUAAAAAAAGUAUAGUGAUAGCAUUGCUGCAAGUGCUGGCUCAUCUGAUGGAGGUUUCAUAAACAGAGGUAGGAUCUUGUGUGUGGAUGAUGCAAAAACAACAUAGGAGAUUAGAAAGAAAUUAGGUAUGUAUGCUAACUGUGAAGAUGAUUUAGUGAUUAAGAAACCAAUGAAGAUGGAGUUGGUGAUGAGUGAUUAAUCUGGUUGGUCAGGAAACAAAGAUGGAUGAUAUUUCAAAUGGGUGGAUUCAAAGAUUAUGGCUUGAUGGAAACUUUGAGUGAUGUUUUUUUUUCCUAAUGCUUGGGGAGCCUCGGUGGCUUGCUUUUGGUUUGGAUUUAUGUGGUUUUGGAAAUUGGUGUUUCAAUUUAAAGAAAUAUGAUGUAUGUUAGAGUUGUUGGGUUGAAGACAAUUUUAAAUGUGAUUUUUGUAAGAUUCUGCUCCAUGUGAUGAAAAGGAAAAUUAAGGGUGGAAUUUUGUGGCUAUUUAAGUGAGGUGAGGCAUUAUAGGUGUAUUGUAGGACAUUUUAAUAUUGUUUAAGCCUAGAAAGAAAGGUGAGGUGUGUGACUGGUGUAAUGGGUAUUUGUGGAUGAAAUAGUUCAUAGUUUCUAGCAAGCUCAUUGAUAUCCCAUUAAAUGGGAUGAAUUUUACUUAGUUACUGUCUAGGAAAUUAAAAGAGUAGGAUUGAUUUAUCCUUAGUUUUAUCUGAAGGGUUUGUGAGGUUUAGAGAUUUUGUCUAAGAGGUGAAGAAGAAGGGAUUUUUGGAAUAAAUUAAAAAGGAAUUGGAGAGUUUGGUUUUGAAAUUGGGUAGAGCCAGAUUGUGUCUCAUGAAAAAAUGAGCUAUCUAAAAUCACUAUUGAAAUUUUGGAUUACUCAAAUUUUUGGUGAUUUUGAUGGAAGGAUGUGUUUGCCAAUGGUAGGGACUUGACGUUGGAUGAUGUGGAAUAUUGAUACAGUAUUGUUCAAAAGCAUGUGUCAUAGGCUAGGAGCGAUAUUUUUAAAUGACUGAUUCUUUAGUUAGUGAGUUGAAAGUAUUGGGAAAUCAACAUGUACAUGCAGUACCCACACACAAAAUAGCAAGCCUAAAUCAAGAAUAAGAACAGACAAAUAUAUUUGUUUCGAUCUAACUCAAAAUAGCCUACUCUAAAACUAAUCCACUAUGAAACUAUCAAAUAAAUCUUUACAAUUGAGAGACUUUUGGAAUGAGAAAAGUCACCAAAAACUCCUUACUCAAAAUUAACCCAAAACUCAAUUACACCAUUUUAAUAACCUACUCACCUAGCUAUUCUCUUAGUGUCUAACUAUUUGGGAUUACCAAACUAAAAUCAAAACAUCUUAUUUAUAAGGGUGAAACCCCUUAUACCUUUACUAAACUCCCGAUGUGGGAUAGAAAACAAACUCAAAACUCUUAUAACUUUCGAUAUGGGAUUAUGAGAUUUAAGGCAAAUCCUAAUAAAUCCUUCAUUGACGUAAAUAUCCAAAUACUUCAAUAGUAUCUGUAAAGCUAACACGUUUACCUUUCUUUUUUUCUUUCAUCAUAGGGAUCCCAACAAUUGAGCCUCCAUCAAGCAUGUACAAGUGAUUUUUGAUCCUAUUCCCUUGUAGAAUCACACUACCAUUCUUGUACACUUUUAACAAAUCAUUACUACCAUAGUAUGUGUACCCCUAAAAAGCUAACUCAUUCAAAGCAAUUAAAUUGUAGCUAGAACUCAGUACAUACCUUACAUGACGAAGCAUCCUAACAACAUCAAUGUGAGAACUAAAUGCCUUGAAUCUGUAGCUUUUUUUUGUUAGCAACCGCAAUAUCCCCAUACUUCUCAUUCUUAUCCAACUCCAUAAAACAACUCCUAUUAUUGCAAAUAUGAACUGUAGCAGCAGAAUCUAAAACCCAACUUUUAUCACCUUUCAAAUUCUAAGUCUUAUCCAUACAAGUCAUCAAAAUGAUAUCAUCAUCAUCAGAUAUGAUGAUAGCACUAUCACUAUUUCUUUUAUCUAAUUUUUUCUCAUUAUUCACCUUUUUGAAAGCAAGCAUAUCCCUUCUGAGCUUCUUGCAGUGCACUUGGAUAUAUCUUUUUUCACCACAAUAAUAACAUUCUAUAUCAUUGAAUAUCUAUCUAUUGACUUGAAUCUUCCGUUUGAUCCAUUUAUCCUCUUUUGAGUCCUUCAUUGAUUAAAACUCUUUACAGCUAGUGUACUCCCCCCAGAUGAUGAGUUAUGUACUCCCAUAAACCUUUCGUCAUCACGUAACAAGGCAAUCACAUCAUCCAACUUUAAAGUAGACCUAUCUACCAACACAGUCUAAACUAAUGGCCUAUUAGACUUGGGCAAAGAUGACAGCAAAAUUAAAGCCUUCUCUUUAUCUUUUAAUUCAUCAAUAGAAAUCACCAGCAAUUAAGAAACCAAUCUAUUAAACUCAUUUAGAUGAUUAUGAAGACUCGUACAUUCUUUCACCUUUAGAGAAUAUAGAUCCAUCUUUAAACAUAAUCUUUUAGUCAGUGACUUCGAAGCAUAGAUACCUUUAAACUUAUCCCACAAACUCUUUGGAGUACUCUUAGUCAACACACUAUACUUUACCUCUUGGGUUAGCGCCAGUUUAAUAGUACUAAUAACUUUUUUCUGAAUUCUAUUUCAACUACUAUCAGACAUUCUUUUAGGCUUACUACUUUCUAAUACCUGAUCCAACCCUUGUUAUACUAACAGAUCUUGAAUCAUACUUUGCCAUAACAUAAAAUUACUCUUUCUAUCAAACAAUGGAAUAUCAAACUUAAGCAUAGACAUACUAGCCAUACCUUCUUCAGAUAUCUUGAAACACUAUUUCAUGAUCUCGUAAACUCAUGGACCUUAAACCUCGAACCUCAUUCUGAUGCCACUUGUUAGGGAUUAUCACAACUCUUAUACCACUUGUUGGGAAAUCAACAUGUAUACACAACACCCACACACAAAAUAACAAGCCCAAAUCAAGAAUAAGAACACACAAAUAUAUUUGUUUCGGCCCAACUUAAAAUGGCCUACUCUAAACUUAAUCCACUAUCAAACUAUCAAAUAAAUCUUUACAAUUAAGAGACUUUUGGAAUGAGAAAAGUCACCAAAAAUUCUUUACUUAAAACUUAACCCAAAACCCAAUUAUACCCUUUUAAUAGCCUACUCACCUAGCUAUUCUCUUGGUGUUUAACAUAUGAAUUUCAUUAAAAAUUUUUAAAACCUAAUUAUACGUUACUAGAGGUGCAAUUAGAUUCAAAUCCACUCUAAAUAUGAUAUAUGUAAUGCAUGUAACAAAUGGUUGCAAUAUGAUUUAGCUUAAGAUGGCAUGGGUGGAUAAGAAUAUUUUAUUCCAUGGUAGUAGAGGUCAACUUUAUGUGGAUAUGGGGAUUAUUUGGUGUUUAUCUGGUGUUUUUUUUUUCUUGUUUUGUUGUGUUAUGAUGGUAUGUUGGCUUACAUUAUGGUGAUUUCAUGAUAGGGUCAACUUUUUGUGUGAACAGGGAUUUUUUAAUUUUUUGUUUUUAUUUUUGCUUUUUGGAUUGUUUUCGCUGUUCUUUUUUUAUGGUGAGUUGACUCACAUUUUGGUUGUAUCAUGGUUCUGUAUCAUGGUUUAUACCAUCAAUAAAUGGACUCUUGACUGUCGUAAUGAUUUUGUGUCCACCCGACGAAUUUGGAAAUGAAAUAAAAAAUAAUAGAGUCGCUACCAAUAUUUUUUGGCUAGGUGCAAUUAGCCACCUAUUAAAACAUAUCAUUUUAUGAAAUCUUAAAAUUAAUUAAAAUUUAUUAAGGAGAUAAUUUUAAGGUGUGCGUAACAGUCUGGGUUCGGGAGUCGAUUACGUGUGGGGAAGGAUUAGCACCCCCACAGCGUCCGUUUAAAAAUGGUACUAUUUAACUACGUGUUAUCCUUUGAUUUUGAUAAAAAACAAUCUUAUUUUUGGUGUUUGAAAAAUAAUUUUCAUGAUUAUUUCAUUUAUUGUGAAUUAGUUUUUAUAUUCAAAUAUUAUUUGAGAAAAAUAAAUUAAAACUUUUUUAUUGAAACAAUUCUUAAAAUAUUCCAGUACGUUGGUAACAUUAGAAGAACUCUUUUUCAUUUAAAGAUUUCUUAGGCAUCACUUUUCGAAAUAUCUUAGAAUCUUAUCUUCGGAAGCUUAAAUUUUUUUUUUUCGUAAAAGAACUAUGUAAUGCAUGUAAUACAAAUGAUAAUACAUUAAUACAAACAUUUUAUUUUUGUUUAGAAAUUCUAUUAAUUGAUUUCCUUUUUAGUUAAAUUUUUGAAGAAAAAAAAGGAAAUUUUAUUUUAUUAAAGCUUUUUUAUAAAUAUUUUAAUAUACUGGUAAUAUUUUAAAAAAAUCUUAUCACCUAGAGAUUUCAUAAAGUAUUGCUACUUGGAAUACUUUUAAAAUCCCAUCACUGGAUAAAAUUUUUUUUUCUCAUUUUUAUCAUUUUAUUUUAGUCUUUUUUUAUAAAUUAGUUAAUUUAUCUAUUAUUAAUAAAAAAGAAAAAUUUUUAUUGUAUUGAAAACUUUUUAUAAAUACUUAAAUACACUGGUAGUAUUUAAAAAAAUCUUUUUACUUAGAGAUUUCGUAGGUAUCAUCACUACUCGAAGUACAUUUGAAUUUCAUCAUCAGAUAAAUUUUCUUUUUUACAUUUUAAAUUAUUAUUUUUUGUUAAUUAAUUUUUAUCAAUUAUUGUAUAUUUUUCUUUAUUCUUGUUCAUUAAAAUUUGAUAAGUUUAUGUUUAGUACUUAUUUUAAAUUAAUUAAAUUAAAACUAUUUUAUGUUUUCUACCAUUUAUUUUAUUUUAUAUGAAAAAUUUAUACAAAAAUAAAAUAAAAAAACAGAAAAAUAUUAAAUUAAAUAAUAGAAAUAUAUAAAAUUGAGCAACAAAAAUAAAAAAAAAGUUACGAUAAAAAUACCCAAAAUGCCCUAGUCAACAUCGGUCAAAGAUUCGAAAUGGUUCAGUCGGCUUGGUCAACUGGCUUGGACCUAUAGUCAACGGCAUAGUCGGCUUGGCUUAGGUAUACGGCUCGGCUCUGUUCUCGGCUCGGUUUGGUGGCUUGGCUAACACUUAAUCAAUACGAUGCCGUUUUAAUUUCACUCAUUUUGAUUUCACUAUAAAUAGCCCCCAAAACACCCCCACUCUUUCAUUUUUUUCUUUUUUCCUCAUUUUCUUUUCUUUCUUUCGCUAUCCUCUAGAAUUCUUCUUUUUUCUCCUUCUCAGUUUUCGGCAAUCUUAUUACCGUCGACCACCGUUGAGUGUGUCAAAAAAAUUUCUAAAAAAUACCUAAAAAAUUGUUUUCAACCCCCUGAACUCAAAUCCAACCUUCGGUUCACUAGAAACGACUUUGAACAAUGUAGAUCGAGGCCCAAAGUUUCGAUCAGAAUGAAAAAAAAAAUUUCUUUUGUGUUUUUGGCGUUGAGAUCCCCAUUACUAAGGGUUUUUUUUUUUUUUUGGGAUUGUGCUAUUUUUUGGUUUGGUUUUCUUGGCUUUUUAACAAAGUUUUUUUUUUUUUGAACUAGAAUUUUGUUUUCAAUGAUUUUUUUUUUGCAAAGGUUUUCUUUUUUUUUUUGUUAUGAGUUUUCAUGGCUCUAUUUAUAGAGUAAAAACAAAAUUAAAAUCCCAGAAAGUCUAUGAUUUGUGGGACUGUGACUAGUGGCUGUCAGGAUGGUUAUCGGUGGCUAUCAGACGACUACCAAAAAAGUUGCUAGAAAAGAAAAAGCAAAAGAAAAAGAAAAAAAAAAAAAUAAAAUGGGUGUCUUUAGCUACCCCUCUUUGCUUAUUUCUGAGAAUCAAGAAUAAAGCAAAGACUAAAAGCAACCAUUUUGUUCAAGCAAAGACAAAGCAUUGAACACAAAAUUUUUUCUUUUUUUUUUCUUUGAAAAUUUGAAAAGUUUCUCUGAGUAGAGGCUUAAUUUUUUUCCAAAUUUAAAAAGGUUCUUCUCAACAAAGGUUUGAUGACUUUUGAAAAUUUAAGAGGGCUUCUCUAAGCAGAAGUUCAACAACUUUAAAAAAUUUAAAGAGGCUCCUCUAAGCUUAGGCUCAAUGGCUUUUAAAAAUAUAAAUGGUUCCUCUAAAGAGAGGCUCAACAACUUUAAAAAAUUUAAAGAGGCUUCUCUAAGUAGAUGCUCAAUGACUUUUAAAAAUAUAAAUGGCUCGUCUAAGCAGGGCUUGACAACUUAAAAUUUCAUCUUGAAAAAAGCUCCUUUAAGCAAAAGCUCAACAACUUUAAAAAUUUUUCUUGAAAAAGCUCCUUUAAGUAGAGGCUCAACAACUUUAAAAUUCUCAUCUUGAAAAAGCUCAUCUAAGCAGAGACUCAACAACUUUAAAAUUCUUAUCUUGAAAAAGCUCCUCUAAACAAAGGCUCAACAACUUUAAAAUUUCAUCUUGAAAAAGCUCCUAUAAGUAGAUGCUCAAUAACAUUAAAAUUUUCAUCUUGGAAAAGCUCUUCUAAGCAAAUGCUUAACAAUUUUAAAAAUUCAUCUUGAAAAAUCUUCUCUAAGCAGAGGCUCAAAAAUUUUAAAAUUUUCAUCUUGGAAAAGCUCAUUUAAGCAGAGGUUCAACAACUUUAAAUUUAAACUAUUGAAAAAUAACUUCGAAUAUUACCGUAAAAGGGGACUUAAUCUCAGAUAUCACCACUGAAAAGAUGUUAAUGACUUCGGAUAUCACCAUUGAAGAAAAUGCAAAUGAUUUUUUAACGCUCAGAUAUCACCACUGAAAAUAUGCAAAUGAUUUUUUUUAAUACUCGAAUAUCACCAUCGAGUGAUUUUGAAAAUGUCUUGGAUUUCACCACCAAGAAAAUGCAAAUGAAAAUUUAAACUUUAAACUUAGAUAUCACCACCGAUAAUAUGCAAAUGACUUCGGAUAUCACCACUGAAGGAAACUCGAAUAUCACCAACGAGAAAAUGCAAUUCAAGCUUUAAUACUUAGAUAUCACCACCGAGAGAAUGCAAAUGCAAAUUCAAACUUUAAACUCAGAUAUCAUCACCAAGAAGAUGCAAUUCAAACUUUAAUACUUGGAUAUCACCACCGAGAUAAUGCAAAUGCAAAUUUAAACUUUAAACUCGGAUAUCACCAUCGAGAAGAUGCAAUUCAAACCUUAACACUCGGAUAUCACCACCAAAAAGAUAAAAAUGACCUUUUUUUUUUAAUACUCAGAUAUCACCACCGAGUGAUUUUGAAAAUGUCUUGGACUUCACCACUAAGAAAAUGCAAAUGAAAAUUUAAACUUUAAACUUAAAUAUCACCACCGAUAAUAUACAAAUGACUUCGAAUAUCACUAUUAAGAAAAUAUAAUUCAAGCUUUAAUACUCGGAUAUCACCACCGAGAGAAUGCAAAUCCAAAUUCAAACUUUAAACUUGGAUAUCACCAUCGAGAAGAUGCAAUUCAAACCUUAACACUCAGAUAUCACCACCGAAAGAUGCAAAUAACCCUUUUUUUUAAUACGCGGAUGUCACCACCGAGUGAUUUUGAAAAUGUCUUGGAUUUCAUCACUAAGAAAAUGCAAAUGAAAAUCUAAACUUUAAACUCGGAUAUCACCAUCGAUAAUAUGCAAAUGACUUCGGAUAUCACCACCGAAGGAAACUCGAAUAUCACCAUCGAAAAAAAUACAAUUCAAGCUUUAAUAGUCGGAUAUCACCACUGAAAGAAUGCAAAUGUAAAUUCAAACUUUAAACUCGGAUAUCACCAUCAAGAAGAUGCAAUUCAAACUUUAAUACUUAAAUAUCACCACCAAGAGAAUACAAAUACAAAUUCAAACUUUAAACUUGGAUAUCACCACCGAGAAGAUGCAAUUCAAACCUUAACACUCGGAUAUCACCACCAAAAAGAUGUAAAUGACCUUUUUUUUUAAUACUCGGAUAUCACCAUCGAGUGAUUUUGAAAAUGUCUUGGAUUUCACCAUCAAGAAAAUGUCAAUGAAAAUUAAACUUUAAACUCGGAUAUCACCACUGAUAAUAUGCAAAUGACUUUAAAUAUCACCACCGAAGGAAACUCGAAUAUCAUCAUAAAAAAAAUGCAAUUCAAGCUUUAAUACUCGGAUAUCACCAUUGAGAGAAUGCAAAUACAAAUUCAAAUUUAAACUUGGAUAUCACUAUCGAGAAGAUGCAAUUCAAGCCUUAACACUCGGAUAUCGCUAUUGAAAAUAUGCAAAUAACUUUUUCUUUUAAUACUAAGAUAUCACCACCGAGUGAUUUUGAAAAUGGCUUGGAUAUCAUCAUCAAGAAAAUGAAAUUCAUAUUUUAAUACUUGGAUAUCACCACCGAGAACUUUAAAAAUAAUUUAUCAUAAUAUUUUUCUUAACUGAUGUCAAUUUCACUGGGUUAACAACCUUUUUGCCAGCUAGAUUGAGCUUAAAGCUUUUAUCUUGUGCCAUCUUAUCUUGAUCUUUUGAAUAUAUGUUGCCUAAUUUUUUUCUUCUUUAAUGCUUCCAAAAUUAGUGAAUACCAUUAUGUUGCAAAUGUCUUCUUUUAAAAUGAGGAUGCAAAUAUAAAUGUCUUUUCCUAAAAUAAUUCACAUGAAAUACAAAUGUCUUUUCUUAAAAUACCAAUACGCACAUGCUUUAUCAAUGAAAGACAAGCUAAUGAUGUAAAUGCAAUGUCAAAAGGUUCAAAUGCUAAAAAAAUAUUUUUUUUUAAAAGAUCAAGAUAUGCUACUGCCCAAAAUCUUCUUUUAUUCAAAGUUCUCUUUCAUUCAAUCCCAAAUCUUCCAUCUCAAUUCCAAAUUCUUUCUUUGCUACUCAUUUUCAUCAAUUUUGCUUUGUUUCUUCACAAUUUGGAUUUCUUGACGUUUCUUUCCAUUUUCAUCUUCAAAUCGAACAUGCAUAUGACCAAUUCAAACUUGAUGAAAGGGAAUUGAAGAAAAUGAGCCCUCAAACCAUGGUAAAAACUCAACUGAUUAAACAUACUUUUGUGUUCCUAGAUUGCCCCUUAUUUUACUCAAUUUUUUUAAAAUUUUAUUUUCCUCUCUAAAAAUAUUUUAUUUGAAUGACAAAAUAAAUAAAAAAUUACCUUAGUCAACCUCUAUGAAACAAUGUGACUCUUCAAUCUUUAAAAAAAAUGGUGAUCAUUGUUAUUCACAUGGUAAUUCUAUCUUUUCAAAAGGCUGGGAUGAUUAAUUGUCAAACUAAGAUCUGCAUGAGAAAAUUGAAUUUUUAUCUAGGCUAAACAAUAAAUUUUUUGGGAAGGUUCUUUUAUGGUUAAAUCAGAUUUGACACUAUUUUUAGUAUCACAAUGUGGUAUUCUAAUAGAUGUCAAGACUAGCUAUGCUAAAUUCAAGAUCAUAUUGGGAAAGGCGAAGAUUUUCUCAUCUCAAUCAUUGGUUGCAAUGAGUUUUCAUGUUACAAUCUCAUUCUUACUUUAGAUUGCCUUUUUUUUUUUGUUUGAGGUUUCACCCUAGAGCUUUAUUCUUUCAUUUUUCUUUUUUUUUGAGGGUUUCAUCGUGCACUCAAGUACUUGUAUGAAAGAGAAAAUUUUGCAAAAAAAAUAGACAAACGUGAAAUUGGUCAUGAGGAUUCUACAAGGAACAAAUUCUUCAGUUCAAGUGUCUAUGUUUGAUCAAAAUGGACUUUUCAAGGUAUGUAACAUAAGCUAAGGUUUGAGGUUCUGAAAGAAUGGAUAAAUAGGCCCAAAACAUGUGUUUGAAGGUGAUCGAACCAAGGAUCAUUUCAUACCAUGUGAAGGACUUUCUUUUGGACAUUCAUUUUCUAUUCCUUCAGUCGUAACAUCCAAUCAUUUCUUUUUUCCUUUCUCUUUCUUUUUUUUUUUUUGCUUUCACUUUUAGUUUUUCUUGCAUAUUUCAACAUUUGUAGAAAUAUGUUCUAACACUCAAUUUGUCUGACAUUUGCUUCUACAAUUUAAGGCAUUCUUUCUUUGUUGUCAAAACAUGACUUUAUCAAAUAAAUCUUUCUUUGUGUUAAUUGAUCCUUGAUUAGGGUUCAUUUAAAAAAAAUUCACUAGGCUCAAAAGGGUAGCAAAUGGAUAAUUUAUUAUUUGUGAAAGGAUGAAAAAAAAGAUGGCUAUUCGUCAUCUCAAGCCUGGUCACUUAUGCUGAAGAGUGAUUCCUUGAAAAAUCAAAAUUUUAUUUUUAUCACCUUUUUUUAAUUAUUUUUAUCAUUUUUUUGGAUCAUUUGAAUAUCUAAAAUGCAUGAUGUAACCAUCAAUAUUUUUUUUUUAUUAUUUUUUUUUUCUUUUUGUUUUUAUAACUCAUAUGACAACCAAUCUUUGUCUUAUUUUGGUAAGUUUAUGUGACGAUGAAAAUCAUGUUGAAGGGUUUAUUUAGGUCUCAGUUGUGCACAUCAUCACCAAAUUGGAUAGUGGUAUGAACUUGAUAAUUUUGGGGCAUUUAAAAAUCAUUCUUUUUUAUCAACAUGCCCUUAGAUAAAAAGGUGCAUUUGUAUAUUUAUGGUUAUCUGAAUGAUUUUUUAUUUAAAGCAUAGUCUUGACACCUAUCAAUUCACCAACAUCUAGAUAAAAAAUGGUAUCAUAUUUGUCAAAUUUUUAAGAAAUUCAUAAGGCUUUUCCAAAUUGAUCAUUUCAGUAUUUGUUGCCUUGACAAGAGGUAUCACAAAGUUCAAACUUGUAUCUUUUGGAGCAUUAAGGUUCUUUAAGUGAUUUUGGGACAUGAAAAAGACACGAGAAUAUUUUAUUUAAGUAGAUUCAUAAUAAUGACCACUAAUUUUUUUGAGACUUUUAUUAUGAAGAGAAAAGAGUUUUUUUUAAAACUUGAGCUAAAAGAAAAAAAAAAAAAUUUUGAAUUAGCAUUCAGAUUCAACUUUCAUACAAGUUCUAAAAUUGAUAUGCUUGUCUAAUACAGAAGUGAAAAGAAAAUAAAAGUGACACAUUUUUUGAAUCAAUGUACCUUUUUGCAACACUCAACGAACCAUUAUAUUUUCAGAAAACCCACAAAACCAUUCUCCAAUUCUUUAUCUAUCCAUUGCAUCCAAAGUAUUCAUAUCAAUACUUUAACACCCCCGGUUCACCUCUUUUCCAAUAUAUUAAGGACAGAAUGAUCACCGUUAGUUUCAAAUUUUAUUUUUUUUAGCUUUAAUGAGAUUUCUAACAUUAUAUUUUAGUACGGGAUAGUUUUCUGUCGGUGGGCCUGAUUUUCACUAUGGUAAUCAGAUUUUGCAUUAGGAUCAUACCAUUUUAGGUAAGGGGUUAAAGGGAUUCUAGACACACAGGCUCCAAAAGCUGAUUUUGGAUCAGUUGGGGUAACAAUUCUGUGUAAGAUAUGGGAAUAUGGUUGAAAGUGAUUCUUUCUUUAGUAUUUCUUGGGGCUCUCAAACCAUUACUUGGAUUGGAUAUUCGUUAUGAUUUGGUUGGUGCAUUGAGAUAGUUAUAUGAAUAGCUGAGUGUUUGAAAAGAUGGCUGGCAAUAGGGUGGAUAAGUUGAUUGUUGUAGUGGUUGAUAUAGUUGAAAAUGAUAAGGGAUGGAUGUAACAUUAUUUAUGAAAGGUAAUGGGUUUGGUACACUGGUGUAGGGUAUAGGGUGAAACUUUCGAAUUGUUGCCCCACAUAGUUCGUUGCUUGGGUUUCAUUUUUUUUAAGGCUUUGCCUUUUUUUGCUUCACUUGGCUAUCCUGCAAUGAGCUUGCCAUUCUUUAUGGUAUUUUUAAUAAUUUCAUAAGAUAUCACCAUGUCUAUAAAGUUUUUGAUUGUAUUGUCUAUCAGUCUCUCAUAGUAUAGUGCUUUCAGAGUAUUCACAAAUAAGACAGUUAUCUUUUUCCCAGUGAGGAGAGAUUGUACUUGUGUAAUCAUAUCUCUUCAUCUCUGUGCAUACUCUUUGAAGCUUUCUGUUGUUUUCUUUUCUAUGUUCUAUAGAGACAAACGAUUUGGAGCUAGAUCCAUAACCUGUCGAUAUUGUGUAAGGAAUGUUCUUAUGAAUUCUUGUAAAAAAUGAAUACGAGUUCUAUCUGGUUGAAUAUACCAUAUGACUACAGAUCUCGUAAGGUUAUCCUGAAAUACAUGCAUCAACAGCUUCUCGUCAUAAGCAUGUGCCGUCAUCUUGCGACAAUACAAGGUGACAUGAGUCAUUGGGUAUUUUGUGCCAUCAUAUUUUUCAAAUUUAGGGACUUUAAAUUUUGAUGGAAUAACAACAUCUGGGACCAAACAAAGGUUGGCUGCAUCCCUGGAGCCAUAAAAAUUUAUUCCCUUUAUGACCUUAAGCUUUUUUUCCAAUAACUUCAUUUUCUCUUAGGCACUGGUAUCUUUCACUUUUUCAGUUGUCUUUAUCCCUAUCUUUUCUCUCUCUUUAGGAUCAUCCAAAUCAGAAAAUCAAGAUUAGCUUGGGUGGUUUUUUCAUCAUAACAGGAUUGAUAAAAUUUUGAAAUUGUCUUCGAAUAGGUGUGAAUUUCAUUCUUGGAUAAAGAUUGAAAUAUCUUCAAAGAGUAAAAAUUUGCACUUUGGUUCCUUGAUAUGGUAGGGUUGGUUGUGGCUCAAACCCUGAAGGGUAAAUAGGAUCCACCAUGUCUGGUUAUUACUCUUGAAAGCUAAAAUUUCCUUCCACCACUUUUCCUUUAUCAAGCUUCUUGAGCAUAUCUAUUAUCUUAUUAAUAUCCUCUUUUAGUUCUUUUUGAGCCUUCUCUAUUCUCUCAAAUUGACUAGGUUGUUCUUGUUCCAUGAUUCUUGUUUGAGCUCUGGUGUUGGCAGAUAGGUUAAGUCAAAAUUUAUGGUGGGUCAGCUGUUCUUGAACCUUUAUUACCAUAAAUUUUUUUUUUUUAAAAAUACCAUGUAUUGAAAAUUUUAUUUUUGAUUUUUGAUUUUUUUUUAAAAAAUGGUGCAUAUGAUGCAUGAAUGCAAAUUGGAGAUAUUUGCUUUUGGAUAAAUUUCAACACUAAAAAUUCUCAUUAAUUUCAUACAAUUUUCGUUACAUGAGAUUUGAGCAAUCUAUAGUUAUAUGAGAUCUAUGAAGACUUCUUAGAAGAAAGAUGUCCUAGAGCAAAUACCUUAAUACAAAACUGUAUGAUAUGAUUAAUGUAAAGAAAAAAGAAAAGAAAAAUAAAAUUGAAUUAGUGUGAGGAUGUUGUUUGAGAUUAAAAACAUUUUUUUUUUUUUGUAUUACACAUAACUUUUAUUCCCAUACGUUUUGGACUUAGGUAUUUUCUACAAUAGGGUGGGCAAAGCUCUACCUAAGGUUGGCUUCUUACGACUUAUUACAUGCUUGGUUUGGGCCGUCAUGCGUCUAAAAGUUCUCAAAUUAUUCUUUACUAUUGUCCACGCUGGACUAGUAAGGCACCCCAAUCCUCCCCCAUUAUAGGCUACGAACGAAAAUGGUUCAAUUUGAGUGAAAGUAUUUCGCUUGUCAUUACGAAAGUUAUCACCUCACGAGAGUAUAGGUACUUUACUUCUUCUUAUAAAGGACGAAACCCAGGUAUAGAACUCAUGCAUGAGAUGCAUCAUGUUAUUGUGUGUGCAAAUAUAUCCUAAUUUAUUAAGAGUAAUAUAUACAGAAAAAUAAAGCAUAAGAGACAUUGUAAAAGAAAUGUGUGUGAAUUUUUUCUUUUUCUUUUUUGUUUAUUAACUUUUUUGUUGACAGUGAAAAAUAAAAAUCUAAGAAAUCGAUUAGGACUAUUUAAAUCGAAAUUUGAGAAUAAUACGUAGUUAGUUUUGGCUUGACUCUCGAAAACAAAUGGCAUUCCUAGUGGAGUCGUCAAGCUGUCGUAACGAUUUUGUGUCCGCUCGAUGAAUUUGAAAAUGAAAUAAAAAAUAAUGUAGUUGCCACCAAUCUUUUUUGGCUAUGUGCAAUUGGCCACCUAUUAAAAUAUAUCCUUUUAAUGAAAUCUUAAAAUUAAUUACAAUUUAUUAAGAAGAUAAUUUUAGGGUUUGCGCAACGGUCUAGGUUCAAGAGUCGGUUACGUGUGAAAAAAUAUUAACACCCCUACAGUGCCUGUUUAAAAAUGGUACCACUUAGUUACGUGUUAUUCUUUGAUUUUAAUAAAAAAUAAUCUUAUUUUCGGUGUUUGAAAAAUAAUUUUCUUGAUUUUUUCAUUUAUUGAGAAUUCGUUUUUAUAUUUAUAUAUUAUUCGAGAAAAAUAAAUUAAAACUUUUUUAUUGAAAUAAUUCUUAAAAUGUUUUAGUACGUUGGUAACAUUAGAAGAACUCUUUCUCACAUAGAGAUUUCUUAGGCAUCACUUUUCCGAAUACCUUAGAAUCUUAUCUUUGGAGGCUCAAAUUUAUUUUUCAUAAAAAAACUAUGCAAUGCAUAUAAUACAAAUGAUAAUACGUUAAUACAAACAUUUUAUUUUUGUUUAAAAAUUUUUUUAAUUGAUUUCAUUUUUAGUUAAAUUUUUGAAGAAAAAAAAAGGAAUUUUUAUUUUAUUGAAGCUUUUUUAUAAGUAUUUCAAUACAAAGGCUGAGCAUAUUAUAGCAACCGAAUCAGGUAAAGAAAUGUUUUAGAUGAAAUAUUUUCUUCUUGAAUUGGGGUUGAAUUAGAAAUAGUAUGUGGUACUUUAUGAUAGAUAGAGUGUUUUAGAUUUGAGUAAGAAUGCCAUGUACCAUGCUAAAAUAAAGCACAUUGAUGUUAGAUAUCACUGGUUAUGUUCAAUGAUUAAGGAAUAGCAGAUGUUGUUGAAAAAAGUCUAUACUGAUAAGAAUGUAAUGGAUAUGUUGACUAAGAUACUUUUCAAGGAGAAGUUUGAGCUUUGCACUAACUUGGCCAAAAUGAGUUCCUUGGCUAAAGUAAAUUCUAAAUGAAACUACUAUAGUGAUGAAUCUCCUCCUAAUGGGGUUGAAAGGGGAGAUUGUUAAGAAAAUGGGGUUCAGCCCUAUGUAAUUUAGGUUUGGACUAAUCAAAGGCCAUAAGCCUUAGUCUUUCUUUUUACACAGAGCCCUAGCUAUUUAAUAAAAUGAGGUGAUGCUGUUUUAAGAUGGUAUCACAAAACCAAGAAGAGAAAGAAAAAGAGCUAGAAAAAAUAGAAAGAAAAAAGAGAAGGGAAAGUUGGUUAAACAGAAGUCGAUUCGUGGUUCGAUUGAGCUAAAACUUUGUUAGUAGGUUUAUGAUUCAGAGUUCUACAUUAUGAAUGAUGAAGAUCAGGUUUGAACCUUUCUAGGAACAAAUCCAGAGUGUAUUUAUUGAGUCACCUAUUUGGUGAGAUUUCUCCAAUGGUCUCUUUAGUUAUUGAUUAACUCUAGUUUUAGUAAGAAAAUAACUUUGUAUAUCCAUUAUUUGAUAGUGGGGAUUUUUUUUGUGGUCAAUGAUUUUUCCUUCUACACUGAAAGGUUUUUCAUGUAAAUCUUAGUGUGCUUUAUUUUUCUUAUAUUUUUUAUUAUUGAUUAUUAUCUAUUGCUGUGGGUUUAUUGCGAUAUAUUGCUUCUGUAUUAUUGUGAUUAUUGCUUCAGGCCUAACACUAGAGUAGCAAUUACAAAGGCAUUUAGUUACUCUCACUUAGCAGUUGAUAGGGUAAUCAACUACUCAGUCAGUUGCUCCCUCCUUCAUUCAAAUGUUUUUUCUAUAUUUUCAAACAUUAUUUUUUAAUAUACAUACACACUAAAUGAUUGUAAAAGAAUAUUUCACUUUAAUAAUCUUUUGAAAAAUGUAUCUUUAGUAAUACAUACAACACCAUGUAAGCCAAUUUUUAGUGAUAGUUCGCUCAUGUGAUUCAUAUGAAAUGGAAAAAACACCUUAUUGAUCACCUUGGUCUAAGAUGAAUUCUGAUGAUGCUUCAUUUUGGUAAAUCUUGGAUGGAUAAGUGGUGUUGUAUGUUUCCAUAUAUGGGUGAAGUUGUUACUAUUCUUCCUUUAAAUCUUGACUUGUCUUUUGGUAAAUUCCAAGCAAAAAUUAGGUCUUUUUAAUAAGUAAAGCUAUUUAAUGCUUUCAUAGAGAUUGAAAUAGAUGUCUGAUCAAUUUGCUUUCUUCUCAUUAAGUUGUACAUUAACCUUAGCUGUAGGCAAUCCUCUUAAUUUGAUUAUCUUCAGCUUUUUACAUUUUUUUUGGUCUAGAAGCAUGACAUGUAUUUAAGAGAUUUUUCAAGACAUGUGAUGACUUUAUUAAAAUGAAAAUGAUAUAUGAUUUCAUUAUAUGGAUGUACUCUAUAUUUUCAGAUGAGGUGGCUAUUAAAAAAAUGAAGGGUUAUACCCAUGGGCUAAACUUGACAUAUUAAUUACCAGUUCUAACUCUUAUUUGGUCAAGAAUGAAAGAGGGUUGAUCCUAAUUUAUAUAAGGUCUACUAGAUAGUUUGUAUGACUUUUUGGGUCUACUUCAUUAAAAAAGUUUGAUGAUGAUCUAAUCAUCCUUUUCAUCAUUGGAACCAGCUUAGAGAAAUCUAUAUAACCCUAUAUAAAAGGUAUCUUUUAAGGGAUUUGGGUAUAACAUGUGGGUUUUUUUCUUUCUUUAAUGUUGCUCUUUCUCAUUUUUUUCAUUCUUUUAUCACUCUUCUAUGUUUGAUCCAUAGAAAGAUAAAAAAGUUUCUUUUGACACGUGUUUUUUUUUUCUAUUUUUGUAUUUGACAAGUGUAGUUCCUUAUAUAUAGUUUUGUCUACAUGCUUAUGCUUGUAUAACACCUGUUAAAGAAAGGACAUAAAAGAGAUUUUUUUAAAUGUUAAGGUUAUUUGGUUGGAAAAUAUAAGAAGAAAGGUCUACAAACAUAGGGAUAAAGUUGAAAGGGAAUAGGUAAAGAAAAAAUUACAUAUUAAAAAAGAAAUAUGAAGGAUGAAAAGAGUUGGUGUCCUACUUAUUUCCCAUUUUUUCUUUCUAUUGGGAUUUUUCUUUGUUGUUUUUCUACCUUUUAGUUUAUAGAUAUUUCCUUUUCUAUUUUGAUAUUUCAUUUAUUAUCUGAAAAAAUUUGUUUACUAAUAUAAAAUUUUGGUGAAUUUAAAUUUUGAUAAUUUUUUUGGUAUUUUUUACAAGUUCUAAAUUGGAGUUAAGAAUACAUAAUUUUAGGUAUGUUUUAUAUUAUGGCUUUACAAUUGAUAUUUUUGCUUGACCUACAUGCUAUGUGUUCAUUAGUUUUUUUUUAAUUUUCUUUUAUUGCAAAAAAAAGAGAGAAAAAUAAACAGUAAUGAAAAGAAAAGUGCAUAAAAAGAGAGGAGUGAAGUUUGAAUAAAAAAAAAAUAGCAAAUGAGAAAAUAAGAGAAAAGGCGAAAAAGAGAUGGAGCAAAAAGAAUAGCGGAAAGGAAACCUUAUUUGGCCUUCAUGCCAUAUCUUUAGCAUGGAUUUAAGAGGUAUGUUUUGCUAAUUUUCUAAUUUUUGUUUACUAAAACAAGAAUUGAAAUAUUUGUCUUUUUUUUUCUUUAAUGAACAUUAAAUUUCAUUUACAAUGAAACAAAAAAAAAAGGAAUUUUUAUUGCGUUUGGUUUUUGUUUUUAGAUGUGAACGUGGUGAAUUCUUUGAGUGAAUUUGAAAGGUAGCUUUAAAAGCUUAGUCAUUUAAAAUGAAAAAAAAAAUUGAGUUUAGUUUUUGUAUUUUAGAUGUGAAUAUAAUGAAAUUUUUAAUUGAAUAUGAAAGGUAACUUUAAAAGCUUAGUUCCAUGGGUGAGCAUCUAUAAUUGGCAAAGGUUUUAUCUAAUGAUUGACAAUGGUGGUUUUUGGACUAAAUAAUCCCUUUAUUUUUUAAAAAUAAUUAUUCUUCAAUUUUCUAACUACUGUGAAAGAUUUUAAAAAGUGAUGAGAAGACACAUAAUAAAAUGUAAGUUUUUUAAAUACUUUUUUGGUACCAACAAUAUACAACUUGCAUUUAAGGUUUGCUUAAUUUGUUCUUUUAUCAUUGGUUGUGAUAUUAGUGUUUGUUACGACCACUUUGUAGACUUAUGAAAAGCUUGGUCAUGAGCUAUUUUACUUAUCCAUUUUUUUAAAAAGUUUUAACCCUUUAAAACUUUUUCUAAUAGUUUGUAGUAAGAAUUUUUAAGAUAUGUUAAAAAAGAUUAACAACCUGACGAUUUAAGAAGGAAUUUGAGUUGUUAAAGUUUCAAAAAGCCAAAAUGUUUAAGGAAAAAAAAAAGAAUUCUACCUAUUGCAUUGGAUCUCAGGAGUUGUGUUAUUAAUCUAAUUGAUAAAAAUGCUGUCACCAGAUUGGUAGAAUGUUCAAAACCAGCAAUUCAAUAUCUAAAUAUCAUUUAGUGUAUAUUAAUUCCACUAGAUUGGUAGAAUGUUCAAAACCAGCAAUUCAUUAUCUAAAUAUCAUUUAGUGUAUAUUAAUUCUAAUAAAUUUAGCCAUAGUUUAAUGAGAUAGCUUUUUCAAAGGAUUUAGUUUAUGCUUGAAAGAAACAAAAAAAGGAAUUACAUAGUUUAUUUCUUAAAUUUGAUUAUCAAAGUGAAGAGUUUAGAACAUGUGCCCUAUUUUUAUAAAUUUUAGGUAUUAGCAAAAUAUUACCAACAACAUUAGCUGCUGCUAUGAAUGAUUUUUAGAAUCUACGAGUAUAAGAUAGAUAGGGAUAUGUAAUUUUGCUAUCAUGAUUUUAAAUUAUUAUUUUUUAUUAUUGCUAGAGAUUUGUUUCAUGGUAUUAUAUCCUUAUAGUAUUAUCUUAGUGCUUAUGUAAUCUUUAAGUAAAAAAGGUAAGGUACAUUUGAUAUCAUUCUUGAGUUUUAUUGAUAUGAAAAAGUCUUAUCAUAUUUUAAUUUAUUUUGAUUUAUGAAUCUUAUGCAAAUUAGUUAGUUUGGUGGGUUAUAGCAGAGGAGGUGCAUGCCUUGUUUAUGCAUUGGAGGAUUUCUUAGAAAAUCUCCAAAGCAUUUUUUCUUUGUGCUAUAGUGGUGCCUAAUUGUUAGAAACAUUUCCACGUGUUUGCUAAAGAUCUUUUUUUAUCAUGCUUGGCUAGUAAUAAUUGUUCAUCAAGUUAUUACACCAUUAAUAACUAGAACCAAAUCCAAUUCAUUUCCACGUUAGGUUUUUAAUUUAUGUUUGGUUUUAUAAUCAAUUUUUAUAUAAUUGUUUUCUAAGAAUUUUUUAGUAUCUAUGAAUUUGGGAUCAAUUCAUAAUUUUGUAUAUUUAUAAUUUAUGAGUCAAAGUUAAUAAAUAUGUUUGUGUGGUUAAUUAUUAGGUUUUUAAUAAAGUUUCAAUUUUGAUUUGAUUGUUAUAAACUUUAAUAAAUGGUAGUAAAUAUUAUUUGAAAGAUACAAGCUUGGAUUGUAAUAUGAAUUGUUUGUGCUGAGCUCCGACUUGAGAGCAGUCUUGUAAAUACAUAAGAAAAAAACGAUUAGAGGCAAAGGUAUGGGGUGUUCCUUGCAUUUACACUCUAAUGCGUAAGUCAUUAAGGAUCAAGUAAAAAAGGAGAUGAAAAAGUCGGAAGGAGAGAAAGGUAUAAGUUUUUUUUUUAACCUAGCUUCAUAGUAAUUGAGUAUUUGUAUUUAUAGGCAAGGUGAGAGGGACAAAAAAGGGACAAUUAGGACAGAGUCGAGUUUAGGUGGCAGUAGAGAUGUCAGAUCGACUUGACAUGUUAGGUCAACACAAAUGAUUAAGAUACCUUUAGUUGUCUACUAGAGACUAAGAGAGGAGAAAAUACACUAUGCCUUUUUUACCAUUAUAUGCCCCUAACACUCUAUCCCCCCAUCAAGCGGUUUAAGUAUCAUAUCACUAAAAUUUGUUACUGACAUCUUUGGUGCGGGGCAAGUGGUUGCAUAUUUUAUUGAAGGCUGACGUUUAGAGGGAGGUCGGUUCUAAAUGACGACUAGCUUUGAGUCAUGGUGUGACCUGGUGGUUAUUUGAUUUCAUGUGUGUAUUUUAGGAUAGGUGCAUAAUCGAUUUAAAGGUUAUCGAAGUGACAAUUGUCUAGGGUGAUUUAAGAAUAUGGUCGGUGUUCACAUGGCCAUGGUGAGAGUUGUGUUUUUUUUUUAAAAAAAAUUAGGCUCGAACCUUUAUUUUAAACCUUGGAAGUGAAUCAGGCUCUUGACUUACCUUUGAUAGUCUUUAUAGUUUGCUUUGCCCUUUAGCUCACUCAUCAUGUCUUUGGGGAUCACACUAAGCUUAAUAAAGAAUUAGAAGCUGUUCUUCCUAUGUUUUGAAAAAUAAAAAGCCAAUAAAGAUGGUGAGUUCAAGGUUGAGGCUUGGAAAAUAAGAAGUACGCCUGGUUCUUUUGUGGAUGCAUCGGUGGCCCUAUAAAAUUUUAGAUUUUACAUGUAGGGAGAGUUUGUUAUCGACGCUCACAGGUUGACCUCUUCGAAAGUAAUAAACAAUACAAAGUAUUAUGGUAGGUUUGAGGUAACCUCAUCGAAUUUUAUUUUGAGUUGAUGUUUCAUCUAACUAUUAGCUUGGUUUUAUAAAUAUGGCUGAAGCUGGAAAAGAUUUCAACGUCACCCUAUACCAACUUUCCUUGAAACUUAAGAGGAGAAAAAAAUCUAGCUAGAGGCCCUGUUGAGUGGGAGAGAUAAAGUGGUUAGCAUGACUAUACCCUAUGUUCCUUCAGGUCAGAAGUUAAAGGCUUGAGCAAGUCAAAACCUAUCCUCCGCAUUAGCACCAAUGCCACCCCUCAGCCAAAAAUCCAUAGGUAGAUGUGUUAUUUACUUCUUUCAAGAACUUCGAGGCUAAGAUGCUGAGACCUGGCUCGAAGAGGAUAACUGUGGGGUUAGAGUUUGCUUUAACAGAUAAGCUCAUCUCCAAUCCCAAUAUUGCUAGAAGGUUCUGCAAAGUCAUAGUUCUUCCUCUUGAUAAAUACCUCAUUACCUCAGCUUGGUUUUUUUCUACUAUUUUUGUAUUUAUUUUUUUAAGUUUAAGGUCUUUCCUUACAGUCCAAAAAAAGUUUCCACCUCAACCUAUAGAGAACAGCAGUCGAACCUUCCAUUAUACUUAUCUUAUAAUAGGUUAUAUGCUGAAGGUUAGAGAGAUAUCACUACCGUUGUUUAAGAGCAUAAAAAGAGCUUAAAAAUACUAAGCAACAUCAGAUCGAGCUUUACUUCGUCCCACAAGAAAAAGGUAGAGUUGAGAAGGAAAAUAAAUAACCUGGCAACAAAGCUAGAGGCCAUCUUAGUGGACAAAGCUUCAGUAGAAUUGAUGAAAAAUAGGCUGAGUUGAAACUAAAUGAUACUCAUACUAAAAUUACAAGGAUGAAGUUUGUGCUAGAGGCUCAAAACAAAAAAGAAGAGGAGCUACAAGUAAAGGCUAUGAAGGAGUACAAAGUCUCCAAUGAAUGUCUCUGAGUAAUGGUAGAGUUCUCUAAAAAGAAUGUUUUUAGUGCCUUCCAACUAGCCAAGGAAAAGGUACAAUUUAAAUUCUCCUAUUUCAACCUCAACCUAUCUAAUAUUGAUAUCAACAAUAUCAUAUUAAAGUCUAUUUCAAAUUAGCCCAAUGAGUAUGAGGAAGAAUAUAAGAAAUAGAUGAAGAUCAGGCCUUGAAAAAAGAGCUUGAGGCCAUCAUAGGGAUAAAAGAGGAAAAGAUGAAUGUUAUUGAAGCUGAGGUCAUUUCUCCCAUUACCAUUAUUGAGAGCACUUCUUAAACUGCUGUUGAUAAGACUCCCACUACUGUUAUUGAUGAAUGAAUUUGAUGUAUUUUUAUUUUUGUUUUUGUAAACUUUUUGACUUUGAAGUCAAGUUUUUUUGAAGACUUCCCAUACUUCAACUAAUGUACUUAGUUAAGUUGGAAUAAAAAAGAAAAUUUUUUAAGUUUCAGCUCAUUUUACUGUUGUUUCUUUUUUAUUUGCAUUAGUUCGAGAAUGGUUUACCGAUCCAUAGGCAAAUAAUUAGAUUGUGAACUUGUAUAGUUAUUUUAGGUCAGAUUAAUGUAACUACAAGUUCUAAGCUGGAUUUUUUCAAAUGACUUCAGAUCACUUAUAGACAAACUUACUAAAGAUAAUUCCAUGUGUGAGUUCACUUAAAACUGAUAUAAUGAUAAUAGAUCUUUAAUUACAUUUUAUAUCCUCCAGACAAAAUAACUCCAGUACGAGCUCGUUUUGCUUUAUUCAUUGACGAGGUUUAGGUUGGCCCUAAGUAUCUUUUCAUUUUUCUCUUUUGAUGCCAAUUCAACUCUUAAACUUGAUAAGCCAAUCUCAACUGGCACUAUGGCUUCUGUUCUAAAAGUCAAAUGAAAAGGGGUUUCACCAGUAAAGACCUUCAUAGUUAUCAUAGGGCCCAUAGAACUCUUAGUAGCUUAUUGGUCUAUUCCCCUUUUGCUAUGUCAAGUCUCGUUUUGUUUUGAUCUACUGGUAAUCAAGUUGAUUUAUAUUUCACAUACUUGGGGUGGCAGUGCCAUUUACAAAAUAGUAUAAGUGUAAGCUCGAUUUAUACUGAGCUACUAAUAAUAAACCUUUAGGUUGUCUACAUUCCCCGUUCUCAGGACAACAUCGCCAUUAAGGUUUUGUAAUUUUUAGGUUGCAUCAUGGAUGACUUCCUUAACAACAUAUGGUUUUUCCUAUGUUGGGGCUAACUUGCCACCUCGAUCAUCUACCCUUGAGGCUUCUAUUUUUUUAAGUACCAGGUCACCCUUUUUGAUGUGUUUACGUUAAACCCUUUUAUUAUAAUAAUUGGCUACCUUUUAUUGGUAGGUUACAAUUCGGGUCAAGGCUAUGUUCUUUUAUUCUUUAACGAGGUUUAAGUUGGCCCUAAGUGUCUUUUCAUUUUUCUCUUUUGAUGGUAAUUCAACUCUUAAACUUGAUAAGCUAAUUUUAACUUGCACUACAACUUCUGUUCCAAAAGUUAAAUGAAAAGAGGUUUCACUAAUAAAGACCUUCAUAGUUAUCCUUAGGGCCUAUAGAACUCUUAGUAGCUUAUUGGUUUAUUCCAUUUUUGCUAUGUUGAGUCUCUUUUUUAAAGCUUUUAGUAUUAUCUUAUUUGUAGCUUCAACCUACCUGUUAGAUUAGAGGUUGGCAACCAAUGUGAAUCUGAAAUCGAUGUGAAGAUUUGAGCAUCAUUCUCUGAACCUUGGAUUAUUAAAUUGUUUGCCAUUGUUUGUUAUUAUGGACUGAGGUAGCUCGAAUCUGUAAACUAUGUUUUACCACACAAACUUCUCAACUUACGUUUUCAUGGUAGUGGCCAGGGCUUUAGCUUCUAACUAUUUUAUGAAGUAAUCUAUUACUACUAAGAUAAAUCUUUUCUGACCUAUGGUCGAGGUGAAUGAUCUGAGGAUGUUUAUCCUUCAUUGCAUGAAAGGCUAUGGGCUAAUGAUAGAAGUGAGCUUAGUUGAUGAGAGAUGUUGCACUUAGGUAAACCUUUGACAUUUAUCACAUUUUUUCACCAAUUCAAUUGCAUCCCUUCUAAUAGUGGACCAAUAGUAGCCCUGCCUCUGCAUUUUAUAGGCCAAAGGCUAAUAUCCAAGGUAAUUUUCAUAUAUUCUUUCGUGUAUUUCUCAUAGGACAUACUUUGCCUUCUUUUUAUCAACACACUUCAAAGAAGGUAGAUUGAAAGAUUUUCUGUACAACUUUUCUUUGAUCAUCAUGUAUCGGGGUGCCUUAGCCUAGACUUUCUCAUUGGGUAACAUUUUUAUGGUUAGGUAUGUCUUGAUUGGUGUCAUUCAAGUUUAUUUCUCUGUGAUCUAUCUAACUAGCUUGUCUUUGAUGCUUUUAUGCAUUAGUUCCUCUAUUAAAACUUGGUUCGGGCUUCCCAUUGUUGCUCUUGAAGCUAACUUAGAUAGUGAAUUUGCUAAUGAGUUUUUUAACCUUGGUAUCUUUUUCACCUCAGCUUUUUUAAAACCAGCUAUUAAAACCAGUGUUUUGUUAAUGUACUUUUAAAUUUCAUCUUUUUGAGCUUCGAAUUCUUUAUUUACCUGACCAACCACCAGUUGGGAGUCACUAUAAAUGAUUAUGUGUUGAGCAUUCAGCUCGGUUGCCAAGUUUAGACUGGUUAUCAGGGCCUGAUAUUUCACUUCAUUAUUGAAUGCCCUGAACUUAAAUCUCAAGGUAUAUCGGUACUGUAGCCCUUCUAGAUUGAUCAAAAUGAGGUUGGCUCCUCCCACUGGCUUGUACUAGAUUCAUCAAUAAAUAGUUUCAAUUGUCAUUAUUUGAGGUUUUUUUUUUUGACUAUCCCUCUAGUUAUGCUAAGGUGCACUUUACUGUGAAAUUAGUCAGCACUUGUGAUUUUAAUACCAAUUUGGAUAAAAAAUAUAGAUCAAAUUCAUUGAGUUUUACUACCCAUUUGAUUAGCCUUCUUGAUAUUUUAGGCUUUUGUAAGACCUAUCUUAGUGGUUGAUCCAUCAAGACGUGGAUCGUGUGGGUCUGAAAGUAUGACCUAAGUUUUUUUGCUGAAGUAACCAUGGCAUAUGUCAAUUUUUCAAUACUAUUGUAGUUAACUUUAGGCUCUAUCAAUACUUUGCUUACAAAAUAGAUUGGUUGUUGCUUUCUCUCUUCUUCUUGGACUAAGACUGAGCUAACAGCUUAAUCCAUGUUGGCUAAGUACAAGUAUAGUCUUUCACUAAUAUUCGAUUUUGACAGGAUAGACGUGAAGGGUAAGAACUCUUUAAGUUCAUGGAAACCUUUUUGGCAUUAAAGAAUCUAUAUGAAGUUAGAGACAUUUCUGAGAGUUUUGAGGAAUGAUAGACAUCAUUCUAUCUAUCUGGACAUAAAUCGACUGAGCACGGCUAUUCUGCCUGUUAGCCUCUAUACCUCUUUCAUCGAGGUCAGCACUUUCAUUUCUAGGAUAGCCUAAACCUUCUUAGGGUUUACCUCUAUCCCUUUUUGGUUGAUCAUGUAGCCAAGAAACUUGCUUAAUGUAACCUUAAAAGUACAUUUGCUUGGGUUGAGUCUUAUAUUAUACUUUCUUAAGGUGUUGAAAGUUUUUCUAAGGACUUCCAGAUGCUCAAUCAAACUUUUUCUCUUGAUGCUCAAUCAAACUUUUUCUCUUGACUAUCAUGUUGUCUACAUACACUUCUAUAUUACGAUUGAUCUGAUCUUUAAAUACUUUAUUGAUCAGCCUCUAGUAGGUUAUUUUUAUAUUUUUUAAUCCGAAAGGCAUGACUUUAUAGCAGUAAAGGCUUUUCUUGAUAAUAAAGGCUAUUUUAUCCUUAUUUUCUUUUAACAUUUUAAUCUGACUAUAACUGGAGUAAGCAUUCAUGAAGUUGAGAAGGCCGUGCUUAACACUAUCAUCCACUAGCCAAUUCGUGCUAGGGAGGAAGAAGUUGUGCUUUGGACAAGCCUUAUUUAGGUUGGUAAAGUCCAUGCACAUCUUUUAUUUUUUGCUAUGUUUUUUGACUAUAACCAUAUUGGCAAUCCAUUCAGGGUAGUAGAUCUCCAUGAUAAAGCCAACUCGUAAUAAUUUGUUGACCUUUUUCUCGAUGGCCUAUUAUUUUUUUGGGAUGAAAGUUCUUUUCUUUUCCCAAACUGGUUUGACCUUAAAAUUAGUAUGCAAUUUGUAGACCAUUACUUCGAUAUCAAUCCUGGGCAUAUCGAAUGGUGUCCAGGCAAAUAGGUCGGUAUUGUCUUUUAUAAGUUGAAUCAAUUGGUCCUUAUGUUAGAGCUUGACUUUGAUUUGUAUAUGUUUUUGAAGAGUAUUAUUUUAAAACAAAAUUGUUAAGAGGUCCUCAACUAGUUCGAGUCGAUUUUUAUCCGAAUCCAAUCUUUGAUUGAUUAUCUUUUUUUGUUCCAUUUGGUCGAUAUCAUUUCCUAUGAAAAUAGGUCCUGACGUGAUGAUCAAUAUAUUGAACAACUUGUUAAGUGUAUUAAUAGAAGUGAAGUGUACUCUUCAUUUAAUUUUUGUUUAGCCAGUGUGUUAGCUCGAUCCAAGUAAUAUUAACUUUUUACGUCGGCUUAAGAGUAAAAGUUUGGUCAUUUUUAUUAUUGUCUUAAAAAAUUCAAAAAAUAAAAAAAGUUAAACUUCUGUGGAGCUUAAGAGCAUAUAGUGGAUUAAGAGUUCACUUUUAUGAGAUCGACUUUACGUUCUAUGCUUUUGUUGUUGAUUUUUUACUCCUUGUUAGCUUUUUGUGUCGAUUUCUUUUAUUAAUCGAGUUGCUUGUCUGCUUCUCAAUCCUACCUUUUAUCAUUAUAACAUAACAUUAUCGUGCUAUGGAUUGGUCUCUCCAAACUUUUUCAACUCCUGUAAAUGUAGAGAAUUUCACUUUCAAGUGUGGAGUUGAGCCUAUGAGUCGCAUGACAGAUUGGCUAGAUUAGCCUAAUAUCAUGUUGUAGGCAGAGGGAAUAUCUAUCACUCUAAAUUCCAUGAUCGAGGUGAUCAUUUUUGGCCUCGUUCCCAGAGAGAUCGAGAGUUUGAUGGUUCUUUUUAGUGGCACUUGUGCAUUUCAAAACCCAACUAGUGUUGUGGUGUCGACUUCAACUGAUAUUCAUUGAUCUUUAUUUUUUUAAAACAGCCAUAGUAUUGUCAGUCAAACUCCCAUUGUCAAAUAGGAUUCUUUUGACCAUAUAGUUGUAUACCAGGGUUGUGAUCACUAUGGCAUCAUCAUGUGAGUGUUGGAUCCCCUCUAGAUCUUUUAAACUGAAUGAGAUCGACUCAUCUCUCUAGUCUUUUUCUUUCUUAGCCGUUGUGCCUAUUGCCAUUACGGAGCCUGGGUUGAUUUUUUUUUUGUUGAGGUGAAGCUGCAUUCUAUGAUCAUGUUAAUCACCUAGCUAAUCGAUCUACUAUUGUCAAUUUGGCCUUUUUCUUGAUUUAUCUCUUCCCCUUGAGCAUAAUUUUUUUAUUGAUUUGAUUUUUUCUUUUUGCCCAUGGUGGGCAUUCUGUUGUCAUUUCUGUAGACCCUUCUAAGUUGGUCUUGUCUUUUCUGCCUUACAAACUUUUUCAAUUGACAUNNNNNNNNNNNNNNNNNNNNNNNNNNNNNNNNNNNNNNNNNNNNNNNNNNNNNNNNNNNNNNNNNNNNNNNNNNNNNNNNNNNNNNNNNNNNNNNNNNNNNNNNNNNNNNNNNNNNNNNNNNNNNNNNNNNNNNNNNNNNNNNNNNNNNNNNNNNNNNNNNNNNNNNNNNNNNNNNNNNNNNNNNNNNNNNNNNNNNNNNNNNNNNNNNNNNNNNNNNNNNNNNNNNNNNNNNNNNNNNNNNNNNNNNNNNNNNNNNNNNNNNNNNNNNNNNNNNNNNNNNNNNNNNNNNNNNNNNNNNNNNNNNNNNNNNNNNNNNNNNNNNNNNNNNNNNNNNNNNNNNNNNNNNNNNNNNNNNNNNNNNNNNNNNNNNNNNNNNNNNNNNNNNNNNNNNNNNNNNNNNNNNNNNNNNNNNNNNNNNNNNNNNNNNNNNNNNNNNNNNNNNNNNNNNNNNNNNNNNNNNNNNNNNNNNNNNNNNNNNNNNNNNNNNNNNNNNNNNNNNNNNNNNNNNNNNNNNNNNNNNNNNNNNNNNNNNNNNNNNNNNNNNNNNNNNNNNNNNNNNNNNNNNNNNNNNNNNNNNNNNNNNNNNNNNNNNNNNNNNNNNNNNNNNNNNNNNNNNNNNNNNNNNNNNNNNNNNNNNNNNNNNNNNNNNNNNNNNNNNNNNNNNNNNNNNNNNNNNNNNNNNNNNNNNNNNNNNNNNNNNNNNNNNNNNNNNNNNNNNNNNNNNNNNNNNNNNNNNNNNNNNNNNNNNNNNNNNNNNNNNNNNNNNNNNNNNNNNNNNNNNNNNNNNNNNNNNNNNNNNNNNNNNNNNNNNNNNNNNNNNNNNNNNNNNNNNNNNNNNNNNNNNNNNNNNNNNNNNNNNNNNNNNNNNNNNNNNNNNNNNNNNNNNNNNNNNNNNNNNNNNNNNNNNNNNNNNNNNNNNNNNNNNNNNNNNNNNNNNNNNNNNNNNNNNNNNNNNNNNNNNNNNNNNNNNNNNNNNNNNNNNNNNNNNNNNNNNNNNNNGGCUCACACUACCCGCAUAUUAUAUCAGCGAUAUAUUUCUGUGCUUAAAAUGCCUACACACAUGCUCCAAGACCACGAUCCCACAAACUGGGCCUCGACAUGCUUAGCACAGGAUCAUCAUGGCAAGAUCGAGGCACACCAAGGCCUGAUCAUGACAAAUAAGCUGUGCACCAAUAGACCUUGUCAUGGUCUCAUCAUUAGAGCUAUGGGCCAUUUUCUCCCAAUCUUAUUCAACUCAUCUUAACUCUUCAGGCCACUUCGCACACAACGCCCCGGAUCCCACAUUCAAACCCAAUACACAUUCCACCUCAUCAAUUUCCAAUCCCCAUAGACUAUGUAAGUUGAUCAUUUCUUGUAAUUAAAUGAAGAUAUAUAAAAACAUACCUAAUAUUAUUAUUCAUUAUAAAAAGCUCUUAACUUUUACAUAAUAAUUUUGUUUUGAAUCAAGCUAAUUGUAUUACUGAAGAUCAUUACAUUCAGUGUUGAUCAUGUCUUGGAUAAUGGAUGGACAGUCCACAAUCAUAUCUCAUCAGAGGCAUUAUUCAAAGCAUGUCUAGCUAAGCAAUGAGCAACGCCAUUUUGCAUUUGGAUUGAUAUAACCCACCUGGAAGGAUCUUAAGGUGCUUCCUAUAGCCCUUACAUCUGCGAGGAUGUUCCCACAUUUGAUAAGUCUUCAUGUCCUUGCUUGCAUCACUCUACCACUUGCAUGGCAUCACCUUCAAGGAAGACACAAUCCAGUCUCAAUAUUUUUGCAGCAGCUAAAGCCUCAACGAUGGUCGGGUCUCUCACAUGGUCCACCUUCGCACAAACGGCUCCCAGGAACUGUCCUCUAUCAUUCCACAUAAUCACCCCAAUUCCCCCCAUGCUGGCAUCUAGGUUGAGAGCUCCAUCAAAAUUUAACUUUGCGAGUCCUCAAGGUGGUGGCUCCCACAUAGUAACAGGUUCAGGUGUUCGUGUUGAUUGGGUCUCAUUUGCCUGUCUACAUUCGCACAGUUAGCUUCGGGCAAAAUGGACCACCAUUUCUGCUGUUCGGUGAGUCCCCUCCUUCCAGCUUGGUUUCCUGGUUUUCCAUGCUGCCCAACAGAGAACCAGGCCCGCUAACCAAACUCGCUGUGUCCACCGCAUCUGCUAUUUCUUCAAUCCAGCCUCCAUCUGCUGCCAGGUUUAUAUUCCUCCAUCUGGGUGGCAAAUCAGCCAGGUUCCAAACUGUGCUGAUACUUUCACAAUGUCACAGAGCAUUUGUUAUUGUCUCCUCAAGUAGACCACAUCUUGGACAUGUAUCAACAUCAAUUCCCCUCUGCCAUAAUCUGUUCUAAACAUGUAGGAAACCGUUAUUUAAUUUCCAAGCAAACAUCUUAAUUUUGUUAGGGAUUUCCAAUCUCUACAAUUUCUUAUAAAAACUCCUUUCCAGGUCAGUCCUUAUACGUAAUAUUAUUUUAAGCUUUUAACUUAAAAAAAAAAAAAUCUUAAAAAGGCAUCCAACAUUCCCUGCUGUGUAACUCGUCUCCAUACGAAAUUGUCCUGGUUCAAUGAACCUCAAAAUCCUAGCUAAUUAUUGUACUUUUUUUCCUGCUAGUAUAUAUUUACCUUUUUGAACCCUAGUUCUAUUCAUGCUUCAUAUAUCCCAAAGGUUUGCUUAGAAGAAACGUGGAAAAAUGUAGGGAGUUUCUUUCCUUUCUCUUCUUUUUUGUCUCUUUUUAUCUUUUUCUUUUUUUUUUUUUUUUAAUUCUAGCUGGAGGAAUACCAAGUUUCUCUGAUAUAUGUCUUUGUUAUUUUGGCAUCUUAAUGAAUGGCAAAUUAAUGUGGAAAGGAUUGCAAAAAAUAAAGUUAAGUUAGUUCCAUGGAACUACAUGUGUUCCUGCUACUACUUUCCAUUCUCUGGUAUAUGCAUCAGUACUCUGGCCUGAACCUUGUGCUACUGCUAUUGCUAGGCCAUUAAUUCUUGCCUUGGCAACAUGAGAGGAAAUUGAAGUGGAUUGAUCGCGGAAGGUUGAUUCCAAAACCAAGGAGUUUGGCUUCCACAAACUAAGAGAAUAGUGGACUGGAGUAGUAAAUAAAGCAAGCAGGGAGUGGCAUGCCCCUCAACCCACUCAAAGCUAUGGAAGCUAGUACCCGAUUCCGAUUAUAAUUCCAAUUUCAUCCUAUCUCAAAGUGCUGGAUACAGAAUCAGAAUCUACUUCAAUUAUUUCAUAGAGAGUUCCCCUUUAAGACUUCAGUUUUCAAAUGUUCUACUGAUCAAGAGGCAGAGAUCCCAGAGUCUAAACUAUCAACAGUUGUAUUUGCUCGAUCGGAUGAUCCCAUUGAUCGUUGAUGCACUCCACCGGGGCCUAUUUCCUUUUUAUUUCUCUUCCAACUUAUAGUCGAGGAGAGUAACUCGAGGAAUGAAGGAGGUAAACAAGAAAUUUUUAUUACAAAAUUAAUUAUAUUUGUGUACACCCGGCCGGUAUAUAUAUUUGGCUCAAUUAUUAAAUACAUGUGUCUCUUGUCGGACCAAUUUCCUUGUUCCUUCAUAUCAUUUCCGCCCCUUGAUAUCAAUUAUUUUGGCCGGCAUAUAUAUUUUUGUGUAUUGUGAUUUUUACCUCAUAUCAUUCCUGGCCCCUUGAUAAGCUUCAGUUUUCAGGAUUCUUCUUUCAUUUUUUUUUUUUUCCUUUAAAUCUAGUGGGAAGUGGUCCUUUUACUUUAUGCAAGCUUUUGUGGUGCCUUGUGGAUAUGCUUAGUAUUUAUCUCCACAUGCUUUGGUUUUUUUUUUUUGUUGGGCUCAAUGUUAUCAUUGUUUAAAGAUGGCAAAUAUCCAGGAAGCUGUGUGAUGAUCAAAUUUUUUCUUGAGGG
rnacentral:lncRNA from 1 species